rnacentral:rRNA from 1 species
UUUGUUACUUCAAACCAAUCGGACUUCGGUCUGACAUCAAGUGAUAUUGAACAAUUUAGCUGAUCGCACGGUCUAAGAACCGGCGACAUAUCCUUCAAAUGUCUGCCUUAUCAACUUUCGAUGGUAGAUUAUGCGCCUACCAUGGUUGUAACGGGUAACGGAGAAUCAGGGUUUGAUUCCGGAGAGGGAGCCUGAGAAACGGCUACCACAUCCAAGGAAGGCAGCAGGCACGCAAAUUACCCACUCCCGGCACGGGGAGGUAGUGACGAAAAAUAACAAGCUGGUCUCAAUGAGUUCCAGCAUUGUAAUGGGAACAAUUUAAAUCUUUUAUCGAGGAUCUAUUGGAGGGCAAGUCUGGUGCCAGCAGCCGCGGUAAUUCCAGCUCCAAUAGCGUAUAUUAAAGUUGUCGCGGUUAAAAAGCUCGUAGUUGGAUCUAGGAUUAGGGCUACGGUCGUUCAGCUUGGACGUACUGUAUGCCCGACUCCUUUUCUCUAGUAUUCGAUUGUUGCUCUUAAAUGAGUGACUUUAGUUGCUGGAACUUUUACCUUGAAAAAAUUGAAGUGCUCAAAGCAGGUU